rnacentral:sRNA from 1 species
UAAAAUAAAAAUUGAUACUUAAAUGUUUGAUGUCGCUACAGUAAUACACCAAAUAUAGUGAUUUACUGUACAAGAAAAUGGAAUCACACCAUAAUAGUGCAAAGUAUAGCGUUUGGUUGGAGACAAAAAGUAAACAUCCCCAUGUCAAGAUAACGUUUUGCCGUCACAUUGGACAUGGUCUUAAGAUGUACAAUGGAACGGCAAAACGUUAUUUGGAGGUGGUAAUAUUAACUUUCUGUCUCCAACCAAAGUGUAUAUUUUGCACUAUUAUAGUAUGAUUCUUUUUUUAUUUAUAAU